rnacentral:lncRNA from 1 species
GCCUCUGAAGAUAACAAAUAUCUGAGAACUAACUGUCGUUGUUGUUUUCAGGUGAUAGAGAGAGCAAAAGAAGGUGAGAGUUUGGAUGAACUGCGGGCUCGAACAGCUGCACAAUUUAGGGAAGAUAAUGGAUUUCAAAAUGCUGAUAGGUUGUCCAAGAAAAGGAAGCUCAGUAUUUUAGAUGAAUGAAUAUUAAGUUUAAAGGUUAGUUGAUUAGUACGAGGCCAGAGAUUCAAGUCUUUG